rnacentral:rRNA from 1 species
UGGGGAAUUUUGCGCAAUGGGGGAAACCCUGACGCAGCAACGCCGCGUGAGUGAUGAAGGCCUUUGGGUCGUAAAGCUCUGACAGAGGGAAAGAAGUGUGCUGAGUUAAUAGCUCGGUAUUUGACGGUACCCUCAAAGGAAGCACCGGCUAACUCCGUGCCAGCAGCCGCGGUAAUACGGAGGGUGCAAGCGUUGUUCGGAUUUAUUGGGCGUAAAGGGCGUGUAGGCGGUUUGUUAAGUCUGAUGUGAAAGCCCUGGGCUCAACCUGGGAAGUGCAUUGGAAACUGGCAGACUUGAGUACGGGAGAGGGCAGUGGAAUUCCCAGUGUAGGAGUGAAAUCCGUAGAUAUUGGGAGGAACACCGGUGGCGAAGGCGGCUGCCUGGACCGAUACUGACGCUGAGACGCGAAAGCGUGGGGAGCAAACA